CACUGUGUGUGUGUGUGUGUCUUAUGCUAUUUUUCCUUCUUUCCUUUUAUGUCAUGUAUCAUAUUCAUAUUUAGGCAAUAAUUUGAUAACUAAUUAGGUGUGUCUUAUGCUAUAUUUUUUCCCCCUUUUCCUUUUAUAUCGUAUUUAUAUUUAGAUACUAAUUUUAGAUGUUAAUUUUAUGUUUGUGUAUAUGUUUUAAUGCAGGACCACAAUGGAAACUCAGCUACAUGUAUAUGCUAAUUUGUGUUAUCCUGGAUAAAUAAAGGCUAUUAUUAUUAUUAUUACCUAGCUCUAUCUGUGUUCAUAAUAUAAGUAAUGUUGUGUACAUGUAUCUACAAGAUUAUUAUCUCCAUAUCUUACCGCUUUCUCAUUUUCUUGGAAUUUAAACAGCAAAUCAUCAUACUGCACAAGAACUGAAAAUAUAAUAUCAAUAUUAUAAUAAAUAUAAUAGCAAAUAUAUGUCUUUUUUUUUUAUUAUUUAUAACUGCAUGUGUAUGUAGUUCCAAAGAUCUAAAUAACCAUGCUUAAAAUUUACUUUAUAUAAAUCGUUUUUAAAAAUCAAUGAUUUUUAAUGAUUCAGUAAUUCAAUAUACAUACCAUACUUACAUUGUUUAUGGGAUUUAUUUAAUAUUUUCAAAAGAUGUAUGCAAUUAUCAUUGUAUAUAUCAGGAAAUUUUUUCCCCAGUUUUACUUUGUCAUUUUUGCUCACAGGCAAUUAUAUCGCUUAGUUUCGAAUUUACUAUUAAACAGGUGAAAUCAAACUGAGUUCAUUUUCAUAAUUCAUAACCAAAUAAUUUUGAGGUAAAUUCAAAAUGGAAUGACAAUGUUUUCUAAUUCUGUGAAUAUAACAUUGGGCAAAAAUUUCCAGUAUACAGUACCGCAUCUAUCAAAUAUUGAAAUAGCUAUCUAGAAUUUUCAAAACUCAGUCGAUCCAAAGGUAAAAAAUAUUCUUUUGGAUUUGCAGAAAGCGGCAGUGCUUUUCAUUGUUAUAUAUGUCCAGGUAAGAAUGAUAGACAAUCAAGGAAGAAAACACAUAUAACAGGGAAAACAGAGGAAUUAAAGUCAAUGGAAUAAAAAUCACAGAUGGGUUGUUACAUCCCCCUUCCUGUUCUCUCUUACACUGCAUCACAUCUGUCCAUGAAUGGCCCCGUGAUACAUAAAUCCUUAGCUUACCUUGACUAGAUAGUGCUUUCAGUUUCUCAUAACGCUCUUGUAACUCUUUAAAAUCCCCCUGUUCCAUUUUAUACGAUUCUUCCUUCUCCAAAGGCAAGACAGGUCACAGGACAAUUUUCCUACAACCAGGAAGUUUUUUGUUUGAGUCCCGAUCCC